rnacentral:rRNA from 1 species
UCNUCUGGCUUAACUGGGGGCUUGCGGUGGNUACGGGCCGGCUUGAGUGCGGUAGGGGAGACUGGAACUCCUGGUGUAGCGGUGGAAUGCGCAGAUAUCAGGAAGAACACCGGUGGCGAAGGCGGGUCUCUGGGCCGUUACUGACGCUGAGGAGCGAAAGCGUGGGGAGCGAACAGGAUUAGAUACCCUGGUAGUNCACGCCGUAAACGUUGGGCACUAGGUGUGGGGGGCCUUUUCCGGGUCUUCCGCGCCGUAGCUAACGCAUUAAGUGCCCCGCCUGGGGAGUACGGCCGCAAGGCUAAAACUCAAAGGAAUUGACGGGGGCCCGCACAAGCGGCGGAGCAUGCGGAUUAAUUCGAUGCAACGCGAAGAACCUUACCAAGGCUUGACAUGUGCCGGUCGGCUCCGGAGACGGGGUUUCCUCCUUGUGGGGCCGGUUCACAGGUGGUGCAUGGUUGUCGUCAGCUCGUGUCGUGAGAUGUUGGGUUAAGUCCCGCAACGAGCGCAACCCUUGUCCCGUGUUGCCAGCACGUUGUGGUGGGGACUCGCGGGAGACUGCCGGGGUCAACUCAGAGGAAGGUGGGGAUGACGUCAAAUCAUCAUGCCCCUUAUGUCUUGGGCUUCACGCAUGCUACAAUGGCCGGUACAGAGGGCUGCGAUACCGUGAGGUGGAGCGAAUCCCUUAAAGCCGGUCUCAGUUCGGAUCGGUGUCUGCAACUCGACACCGUGAAGUUGGAGUCGCUAGUAAUCGCAGAUCAGCAACGCUGCGGUGAAUACGUUCUCGGGCCUUGUACACACCGCCCGUCACGUCAUGAAAGUCGGCAAC